rnacentral:rRNA from 1 species
AGGUUAAGCACUUAUGGUGUGGAGCCGAAGGGAAACCGAGUCUGAAUAGGGCAACUAGUUGUAUAUUGUAGACCCGAAACCGGGUGACCUAUCCAUGGCCAGGAUGAAGCGGAAGUAAAAUUCCGGGGAGGUCCGAACCACGUUGGUGUUGAAAAACCAUGGGAUGAGCUGUGGAUAGCGGAGAAAUUCCAAUCGAACUCGGAGAUAGCUGGUUCUCCUCGAAAUAGCUUUAGGGCUAGCGUCGGGUAAUUGAGUAGUGGAGGUAGAGCACUGAAUGGGCUAGGGGCUGACAACAGUUACUGAACCCUAUCAAACUCCGAAUGCCAUAUACUUGUACCCCGGCAGUCAGACUACGAAUGAUAAGAUCCGUGGUCAAAAGGGAAACAGCCCAGACCAUCAGCUAAGGUCCCAAAGUGUAAGUUAAGUGGGAAAGGAUGUGGGAUUUCUAAGACAACUAGGAUGUUGGCUUAGAAGCAGCCACUCAUUUAAAGAGUGCGUAAUAGCUCACUAGUCGAGAGAUCCUGCGCCGAAGAUGUAACGGGGCUCAAACUUACCACCGAAGCUAUGGAUGUGUACUAUGUACACGUGGUAGAGGAGCUUUCUGUACAGGUUGAAGUCAUACCGUAAGGAGUGGUGGACAGUACAGAAGUGAGAAUGCUGGCAUAAGUAGCGAAAAACAAGUGAGAAUCUUGUUGACCGAAUAUCUAAGGUUUCCUGGC